rnacentral:lncRNA from 1 species
AUGAAACCUCCACCUGGAAUGCCUUUCUCUUUCUUCUUGAAGUGGCUUCCUCGUCUUCUAAUGCUCUGUUCAAUAUCCUCUACCUCCGAGAAUAGCUCCUCGAUUAUUUCCACCAGUGCCCAGCAUAGUGUCCGUGGUGGGCUCCCAUCCAUGGCUGUGUACAUAGUAACCAGCAGGAGUAUGGGCUUGCCUACCAGGAGACCCAACUGGUCAGGACAAGCCAGUCUCCAGGAUGGCGAGGUAACAACAUGGCUCAUCUGGGGGCUGAAGUUGCUACACACUGGAGUUUGAAAAAUCUGUCCUUGGAAGACCUCCAAAGCAGCAGGAGUUUUCAUCCAAGUAUUUGCAUGUCGGCGGCUAUUUUUCUAAAGAGGCAGAUUCGCUAAAGCAAAGGAACACCAUCAGUUUCCUGGGUAGACUCUUGAGUUCAUCUGCCCCUAUCUUUUCCAGGGAAUUUAGCCGAACGCCUUGCCUGCCUAGAUUAAAAUAAUCCUAACGCGAGCUUGACCAAUCAGGGCUCGUCACGUGUUCUCCUAAUUUGAGGCUGAACACAAAGAAAAUGAGACAACGCCAUCUCCAUUCCCAAAUCACACUUUAUACCCGAGUCUCUUGUUUUUCUUUCCGUUUAAUGUUAAAUUCCAGACUUUUGUUUGGAUUACUUAAUCUUAUAAAUGUCAACUUCUUCACAUUAUUGCCAGGAAGGACAGGUGAAUUUCUUUACAGUUUCCUGCUCCAUUAUCCCUUCCCGUGAUGCUAUAAAUAAGGGAGUAUUUCCCUGGAAUCACUCUUGUCAAAAGCAGUAAGUAAAAUAAGAUCUCAGCUGAAUAUGAAAGUCGGGUCUGCCGUAGAGUGAUGCUGUGCUGUGAGUAUGUGUGUCUUAGAGCUCUGAUAAUUCAUAAAACAUCAAAUGAUCUGCCUUCGAUGUGAAAUCUCAAGUGACUCCAGCAUGUAAACUUGCUUAACUGCCAUAAAUUGAAGGAUUUUAAUGGGGUUUUUACAAGUGUUAAUAAAUUUCAGCUUCAGUCCCA